rnacentral:rRNA from 1 species
CCUACGGUAGGCAGCAGUGAGGAAUAUUGGUCAAUGGACGCAAGUCUGAACCAGCCAUGCCGCGUGCAGGAAGACGGCUCUAUGAGUUGUCAACUGCUUUUGUACGAGGGUAAACGCAUAUACGCGUAUCUGUCUGAAAGUAUCGUACGAAUAAGGAUCGGCCAACCCCGUGCCAGCAGCCGCGGCAAUACGGAGGAUUCAAGCGUUAUCCGGAUUUAUUGGGUGUAAAGGGUGAGUAGGCGGUCGGAUAAGUUAGAGGUGAAAUCCCGAGGCUCAACUUGGGAAUUGCCUCUGAUACUGGUCGGCUAGAGAGUAGUUGCGGUAGGCGGAAUGUAUGGUGUAGCGGUGAAAUGCUUAGAGAUCAUACAGAACACCGAUGGCGAAGGCAGCUUACCAGGCUACUUCUGACGUUGAGGCACGAAAGCGUGGGGAGCAAACAGGAUUAGAUACCCUUGUAGUC